rnacentral:rRNA from 1 species
GAAGAACCUUACCCAGGUUUGACAUGCACUAGACGUAUCUAGAAAUAGGUAUUUCCUUCGGGACUGGUGCACAGUGUGCAUGGCUGUCGUCAGCUCGUGCCGUGAGGUGUUUGGUUAAGUCCAGCAACGAGCGCAACCCUUAUCAUUAGUUGCCAACACGUAAAGGUGGGAACUCUAGUGAGACUGCCCGGGUUAACCGGGAGGAAGGGAGGAUGACGUCAAGUCAGCAUGGCCCUUAUGUCUGGGGCUACACACGUGCUACAAUGGUAUACACAAUAGGCAGCGAAACCGCGAGGUGAAGCAAAUCCAAUAAAGUAUAUCUCAGUUCAGAUUGUAGUCUGCAACUCGACUACAUGAAGACGGAAUUGCUAGUAAUGGCGUGUCANCAACAACGCCGUGAAUACNUUCCCGGGUCUUGNACACACCGAA